GCUCAGGAUGAACGCUAGCGGGAGGCUUAACACAUGCAAGUCGAGGGGCAGCACGAGGUAGCAAUACUUUGGUGGCGACCGGCGCACGGGUGAGUAACACGUAUGCAACCUACCCUGUACAGGGGGAUAGCCCGGAGAAAUUCGGAUUAAUACCCCAUGAUUAUAUCGAGAGGCAUCUUUUGAUAUUUAAAGUUUCGACGGUACGGGAUGGGCAUGCGCAACAUUAGCUAGUUGGUAGGGUAACGGCCUACCAAGGCUACUAUGUUUAGGGGACCUGAGAGGGUGAUCCCCCACACUGGUACUGAGACACGGACCAGACUCCUACGGGAGGCAGCAGUGAGGAAUAUUGGUCAAUGGGCGUAAGCCUGAACCAGCCAUCCCGCGUGAAGGAAGAAGGCGCUAUGCGUUGUAAACUUCUUUUCCAGAGGAAGAAAACCCCUGACGUGUCAGGGCUUGCCGGUACUCUGGGAAUAAGCAUCGGCUAACUCCGUGCCAGCAGCCGCGGUAAUACGGAGGAUGCGAGCGUUAUCCGGAUUUAUUGGGUUUAAAGGGUGCGUAGGUGGAUUAAUAAGUCGGUGGUGAAAACCUUCAGUUUAACUGGAGACUUGCCAUUGAUACUGUUAGUCUUGAGUACGGUCAAGGUAGGCGGAAUGUGUAAUGUAGCGGUGAAAUGCUUAGAUAUUACACAGAACACCGAUUGCGAAGGCAGCUUACUGGGCCAUUACUGACGCUGAUGCACGAAAGCGUGGGGAGCGAACAGGAUUAGAUACCCUGGUAGUCCACGCCGUAAACGAUGAUCACUCGCUGUUGGCGAUACACAGUCAGCGGCUAAGCAAAAGCAUUAAGUGAUCCACCUG
rnacentral:rRNA from 1 species